rnacentral:rRNA from 1 species
AGCAGCCGCGGUAAUUCCAGCUCCAAUAGCGUAUAUUAAAGUUGUUGCAGUUAAAAAGCUCGUAGUUGAAUUUCGGGAUCAAUACGUCGGUCGUGCUUCGGUACGUACUGGCGUAAUUGAUUUCUCCCUUCUGACGAACCAUGAUGUCAUUAACUUGGUGUCAUGGGAAAUCAGGACUGUUACUUUGAAAAAAUUAGAGUGUUUAAAGCAGGCUCACGCUUGAAUACAUUAGCAUGGAAUAAUGAAAUAGGACGUUUGAUUCUAUUUUGUUGGUUUCUAGGAUCGACGUAAUGAUUAAUAGGGAUAGUUGGGGGCAUUAGUAUUCAAUUGUCAGAGGUGAAAUUCUUGGAUUUAUUGAAGACUAACUACUGCAAAAGGCAUUUUGCCAAGGAUGUUUUCAUUAAUCAAGAACGAAAGUUAGGGGAAUCGAAGACGAUCAGAUACCGUCAUAGUCUUAACCAUAAACUAUGCCGACUAGGGAUCGGAUGAUGUUAAUUUUUUUAAUGACUCAUUCGG